CGAUCCCCCAGACGCCCGUUGCCGGGGAGCGGCGGCCGGGCCCGCCGGGCUGGAGAGCGGGCGGCGCAGAGAGGUUCCUGUGGGAGACAGCGGGACUUCAGGGCUCCCAGCCAUGCAGCAACGGGCCCUGCCCCUCCCGGCCGGCCCCGGGCCUGAAGCGGAGCCCCUGCGCCUUCUCUCCUCAGUGGCUGCCCGCCGACGUCGGACCGUGCAUCCCUGACCCCGGGCUUCACCGGCAGCGCCCAGCGGGAGUUGUGUCCUGGGGCCUCCCGGGGCCGGGGGGCUGGGCUGCCAGCAUCUGUGCUCUGGCCCCUGGACUGUCCACGUUAGCGGGCCUGGGCCGUUCAGAGGCAUCUCCCCCGCAGCCUGCCGCUCAGGAGCAUCUGCAGCCUGAAGACAGAAUGCUCAAGGGACAGCUUCCAAACACGGGCAGAGACCUCGAAGCCCACCCAGGGUCCCCGCCUACCAACAACGGUCAGGGCCCUGAGAAGAGCCCAGUGCUCCCUCUGAACCUUCCAGCACAAAUCAGCAAUGAGGACCCACAAGCCAAGGCCACACCCUUUACCCCAAAGCCGCCGACGAGGCCCCGGCUGGAGCGAGCUCUGUCACUGGACGAGAAGGCAUGGAGGAGGCGGCGUUUUCGAACCAGCCAGGAGGACCUGGCCGCGCGCAGUGGGGCCAGCCCCUCUAGGGGCUCCUUGCAGGACGAGGUCCCCAGGCCCCCCACCCACACUGACUCCCCACCCUGCCUGAGCACCUCCUUGCAGGAAAUCCCCACAUCCCGCAGGGCCCAGGGCAGCGCCGGAGGGAGCCCCUCCUCGUGGGGUCACUGUCUCUCCGGGAUGAUCGGCAGUUCCCUGGACCUCCUGCACCGGGACGGGGCCUUGGCUGGGAGCCCCAGCAGGCUGCCGGCUGUGGGCCAGAAGGUGGCCUCCAGUUCCCUGCGGUCAGCAGACAGGGUGGACUUGGUUCAGACUGACUGCAAGCCCCGCCUGCAGAGCAGACUGUUCCGGGCCCACAGCAGCCUGGGCCCCGGCCGGCCCCCAAGCCCCCUGGCCUGUGACGCCAAGUCCUCCUUCAGCCUCCUGGCGCCCAUCCGCGCCAAGGACGUCCGGAGCAGGAGCUACCUGGAGGGGAGUCUCCUGGCGAGCGGGGCCCUGAUGGGGGCAGAGGAGCUGGCCCGGUACUUCCCAGACCGCAACAUGGCCCUCUUCGUGGCCACCUGGAACAUGCAGGGCCAGAAGGAGCUGCCCCCAAACCUGGACGAGCUCCUGCUGCCCGCCGAGGCCGACUACGCCCAGGACCUGUACGUCGUCGGGGUCCAGGAGGGCUGCUCCGACAGGCGGGAGUGGGAGACGCGCCUGCAGGAGACGCUGGGCCCCCGCUACGUCACACUGUACUCCGCGGCCCACGGGGCGCUCUACAUGUCCGUGCUCAUCCGCAGGGACCUCAUCUGGUUCUGCUCAGAGGUGGAGAGCUCCACGGUGACCACGCGCAUCGUAUCUCACAUCAAGACCAAGGGCGCCCUGGGCGUCAGCUUCACCUUCUUCGGCACCUCCUUCCUCUUCAUCACGUCCCACUUCACCUCCGGGGACGGGAAGGUGAGCGAGAGGCUGCUGGACUAUAGCAGAACCGUCCAGGGCCUGGCCCUGCCCAGGAGCGUGCCGGACACCAGCCCCUUCCGCUCCGACGCUGCGGAUGUCACCACCCGGUUCGAUGGGGUGUUCUGGUUUGGAGACUUCAACUUCCGUCUGAGCGGUGGGCGCGUGGCCGUGGAGGCCAUCCUGAAGCAGGACCUGGGAGAGAAGGUGUCUGCCCUGCUCCAGCAUGACCAGCUCACCCAGGAGAUGAAGAAAGGGUCCAUCUUCAGGGGUUUCCAGGAGCCGGACAUCCACUUCCUUCCAUCAUACAAGUUCGACAUUGGGAAGGACUCCUACGACACCACCUCCAAGCAGAGGACCCCCUCUUACACGGACCGGGUCAUGUACCGAAGCCGCCACAAGGGUGACAUCUGUCCCAUCAAGUAUUCCUCCUGCCCUGGCAUCAAGACGUCUGACCAUCGCCCCGUGUACGGCCUGUUCCGGGUGAAAGUGAGGCCGGGGAGAGACAACAUCCCGCUAGCUGCCGGCAAGUUUGACCGAGAACUGUACUUGAUAGGAAUUAAAAGACGGAUUUCCAAAGAAAUUCAGAGACAGCAGGCACUGAAGAAUCAGCACUCGAGUACUAUUUGUACUGUUUCUUGAGGUCUGCCCAAGGACCUCUGGCACCUCCACCGGGAGGUUACUUGAUCAAAAGCCCCUAAAGACGGAAGAGGUUGCUGUGUGGGACUUCUCCCCCUUUCUGGGCUGCCGACGAACCACUGCUCGAGACUGACACGCUUUCUGACCCAGAACCCCACGGGGAGGCCAGCAAGACCGGCCAAGUGGUACCGAGGCACCAGUGCCCCCGCCCGGAACGACACCAGCCACGCUCGUUUACAGCACGUCCCGGCAGGCCCCACGCCGGCCACACGCGUGGUCCCGGGGCGCAGGCGUCUGGGUGGGGCAGGGCCUGGAGCCACCCGCUCACCCAGAGCCGGGGCUGGCAGCCCCCCAGCAGCCCCUCCAGUGCAAACUGGGAGGUGCCCUUCCCCCUCUGAGCACAGCGGGCCCGGUACCAAAGACGUAAGCUGCUCAGGGUCAGGCGGCUGGGGGGGGGGGGGGUGGUCUCUGUCCCACCAGUGCACUUGAGGACCAAGCCCAGGCCCGGCUGGUCAGGCCAGAGCCAGCCGACUUCCAAGGAGGGAACACAGUCCCGCUGGGACGGGGAGGCCUGGCCUGUUUCAGGGCCGCCUCUGAUCUUGGGGGGCUGGCCCGGCCCAUCCAGCCAUGAAGCCACCUCCCUGUCCUCUUCUGGUUCUGGUGAUUUAAGACUGUUUGCAUACACGUGACCAGCCUCAAACAGCAUGAACAUGAAUGCAGAUAUGGGCCAGUCUGAAAACCAGCUUCACCGAGAUCGAGAAGCACAAGCAUGAGGGUGGUUUUCAAGACCCGGCUCUCAUCGCCUCCACGCACUCUGCUCACGCCAGGCCUCCCUUGGGCACCUGCUGAGCCUGCGGCAGCCAGCCCUGAGGGCCACGUGGGGCCCAGAAUGGGGAGGGGGCGUGGCUGCAUGCCGAGGGGAGCAGAGGGGCCAGGCCAUGACAGGGUCCAGGGAGAAGCCAGUGGGGAAGCAGGACAGGCGGGUUAGCACCAGCUUCCAGACCCUGGGUCUGGGCAGUGCUUCAGCUUUUCUGGUCAGAAAAACGCUCUGACCAACAUCCACCCGGGCCUCAUGUCUUCCCGAGCUCUGCCCCCCACCCCGCACCCCCCACCCCACUGAAUGCCUGCAGUGCGGCCAAGCUCCUGCCCUCUACCUCCCUUGGGUGCUGCCCUCCCCCUGGGGUAACCACAGAAACGACAAGAUAGUCCACACUGCUGCCCACCUGCCCUCCAACUCAGGCUCAUCUCCCUUGGGCCCCACCCCAGCGGGCAUGGAGGGCCUGGCAUCCCCGCUGUGCCCCGCCCUCCGCAAAGGUAGUCACUGGCACGUGUGCUAGAAAGGCACCUAAACAGGAUGAUGGGCUCCGGCAGAAUAAGUGGAUUAAAUAACUGAAGUAACAUUCACGAGUCGAUCUCCUCGGAAUAGCCCUGCCCUCCUGCCUGUGCGGCCGAGGAUGCCGAGGCUGCCAAGGGCUGGGGACAGCAGCGGCCCUGCAGCUACAAGAGGUGGCCCACGUGGGCUCCUGGGGACUCUACACGCAUUCACGUUGGAGAACCACAAAGCUAACAAAGCUAGCCCACGUUGCUAGACUCACCGGGCCCUGCGGCACUCCUGACAGCGCCUUCCCCUCCAGCACGCUCCCGGCUUUGCUCCCCCGACCGGCCACCGAAUCUGAGAACCCCGCCUCCCGUCCUGUGCGCUCAGACAUGCCCGCAAUCAGAACAAUUAAAGGACAAGAGGCCUCGCAGUGUUGGGUCCAACUGGACGACCCUCAGGGAGACACCCCGCUUGCCCACUUCCAGCCCUGUUUCAGGGAUGCUGCUGAGGGUGAAGGAAAACCGUGCUGAGAAAAACGCUCCACGAAGCAGACCAGGGGCUCCUGCCCUGCCCCGGGGGCUGACUGUGGGGAGACAGUGCGGCACUGCUGAUCUCCAGGGGCGCAGGACGACAGGAACAACGCUGACCUGCUCCCCAACAGCAGUCUGCCUUGAACCUUCUUGCACUUCGCUGGUUUCUAGCCACAGUGAGGGCAAACCUUUAUUCCACCGAGUGGCUUAUUCAACAGCAAAGAACCAGAAACUGAGCUGUGCUCGGCGACAUUAAAUUUGUUCAAGAGUCCCAUGGUUUGCACCGUUUGAGUCUUUGCACUAAACUCACACCCAGAGACAUGUACGAUCACACGCGACUCCCGCAGCCGCAGUCGGGCGGCCUCUAGCGGAAGAGCCGGUAGAUCCUGGGCAGGCGCCCGUCUCUGCUGGACAGCGCCGCCUGGAUGUGCUCGUAGGCCGGCAGGUCGCUCAGAUCGCCCAGGGCCGCCACUGCGGGCUUCCUGCGAAGCAUCUGAGAGGCAACUCUCCGGAUGUCUUCCGGCUUCACGCUGCCUGGCACAGGGGACAAAAAUACCUCAGGGGAUUGCCCGCCUCCUGCACGGACUCCGUCUCCGGGUGUGGCUGCGGCCCCUCAAGGCCCUGGGGGUCUGAGGCUGGGCUGCCGACUCCAGAGGGUCCAGAUUCAGCUGUGGGGACUAUACUGUGAGUCAGGGUGAAGUAUCAGGUUUUUCUUGGUAAACGGAGAAGUACCAGUGGUUUAAAAGAAUUUUCAAAUGUAGACGUGUGCCUGCCCAGAGAAGUUGACACAUCUAUAAUGGAACAGCUCCUUGUCUGCAGAGCUACCCACAUGGAGGGGCUGCGGGGGUUCGUAGGGGGGCAGCCGCGUGCGCAGCCUGGCCUCCCCAAGAGGGACCUGGGUCCACAGCUCGUGUGGGCACGAAAAGCGCACCGUGGGAACACACUGACCAGUAGGUUGGUUUUGCUACAGAAGACGAGGCCUUAGGGAGAUCGGGUACUGUUGUGCUCCAUGGUCUGAGGGGCUCCCCGGGGCGGGGGGGUGAGGAUGCACCCGCGGACGGGAUGCAUGCUGGAGCCGCCACGAGGUUAACAAUCGUCACCAAAGAACCACCGGCCUAACCCUUGUGGGGUCACGGACCCUUUGAGGAGCUGAUGGAAGCAUAGACUCGUCCCCCAAAGCGGGACACACAGGGAAAUUCAAGGACUUCCUGCAAUUCACCCACAGGAGGCCAUGGAAACCUGGGCUCAAGUCACAGAGGGCGCCACCACACGAGCCCCGUGUGGAGCGUUUCCGUCCAUUAGCUCACCGAGUCAGCUUAGAAACCCGGAGCAGUGGUGAAAGGCCCCUUUAUAGGGGGUGAAAAGCUGGGGCCACAGGGGUCGGUACUCAGGGACCCGAGGCAGGGCUGGUCCAGGGUGAGGGCUCACGGGUCCAGGAGCCACGAGUAAACAGGUCUGUGGCAGUCUCCUGGGAGGAAAAGGAGGGAGCCCGACCUGGGCCCCCAGCAUGGUACUCACGGAUGAGUGCGCACAGCUCGUGGGGCAGCUUCCUGGAACGGGUCGCCAGCACCUGUCUCCCUACGUCCUCAAAGAUCACAGGCCUGGACUCCAGGUUCAUCAUGAGCAUGGACAUCAGCUGCGUCUUGGCCCGCUCCAGCUCCACCUGGGAUUCAACCACCAAGUCACACGCUUCAGUUCACAACAGCUCACACACCGUCGCCCUGUCAAGGCCACGUCACAAGAAGACAAAUCCAAGAGUCAGGGGCUCCACGCUGAACCCAGGCACAGGGCCCAGGCAACCCUGUUCCCUGUGCCCCCGGGGAAACUCUGAGGGGACCAGCUCGAUCUACCAAGUCUGGGCCUGGAGCCUCUCUGACCAGGGGUGAAACUGACGACGUUGGGACUUCGGCAAGUUUCAUCCACAAAGCUCAGCGUGAAACCGGAGGGCACGGAAACCGGCUGGGUGAGAGACCGGAGGGGCCGGCCAGAGCAGCACACGUGCUGCAAGACAGACCAGCUGCGGAGAUUCCGUGUCACCGUCUAAGCAAGAAGACUCCUGAUUGCAGACGAGUCCUUUCUACUUUGCCAACUCCGGGCAAAUACUUACAACUUACCUCAAAUUAGCUUCACGUUAACGGGAAGUACUUCCUAGCAGGCCACUAAUGGAGCCCCCCCAACUGAUUUUUAAAUACAUUUUUGUAAAAUUACUUUUUUGAAAUACUUUUUUUUUUAAACUUUUUCUGACUAAAAAGGGAGCAUGUGAUUAUUGCAAAAAGCAGGGACCGAGCAGGAAAGAUCUAUAGGUGAAGGCCGUGCGCCAACCCUCAGAGGCACUCAGCCCACACGCUGGGGCUCUCCUCCAGGCCUUCUAUGCGCGUGCAUACGGAACCUGCUUAUUUGUACCAGGGCUGGUCCACGAAGAAACAAGAUCUCUAAAUACGUAAGCUGACAAAAACUAAGCCAAACAAACGAGGAAACAAAGACUCAGGUUAAAACACAAAAUGGAGUUCAGGGUGCCAGGCAGGCUCAGUCCACAGAGCACGUGGCUCUUGGUCUCGGGGUUGUGAGUUCCAGCCCCAUGCUACGGAUAGAGAUUACCUUAAACCUAAAAUCUUUAAAAACAGAACAAAACCAAAAAAGCAAAACAAAACGUCAAAUGGAAGUUAGGAGAGAGCUCGAGAACCACCCCGAGAGGCCUGCUCAUCCUGUGUGACGUGGCUUUAGUUCCCAUGGUUCUGCAGGGUGGUUGAAAAGGACACUCGAGACCGCUCUGCACCAUUUCUUCCAGGAGGGCCAGGGCCAGGCAGGUGUGAGCAGGCCCAGUGCUGGCAGGGCAACGACUGUUCUCGGUGCUGAGACCAGGGAGCAGGGGAGGAGCUCAGCUGUAGGCCUGGCUCACCCCGGGGCUGCACUGUUCUGGCUGGGAUGUUGGCGGUGCUGGGAGCACAGAGGCCAGCCACCCCCACACUGUGUUCUCUAACCUGCCGACACCGUGGGGAUGUCUGGAGUCGGCUCUGUGUCGUUUCUGUGCUAUACUUACCACAUCCACGGUUCCAGCCAUUAAAAUAAAUUCCUUUGUGAGGAUUUCCACCAUUUCUCGAACCUUUAGGGAAGAAGGUACAGAUGAAGAGUGUGAUCUGGACCUAACAGUCUGUCUCUUCCAAUUCAAUGACACCCCUGCUCCGAGAAACCAGCUCUGUAUCCUGAGACACGAACUGCACAGGAAGCAGAGGCCGCCCGCUUUGGGGCUGGCCCUCACCUGUCUGGGGUCGGCGCUGGCGUGCACACACAGGAGGCCCGUGUCCUCAUAGCUGUGGUGGUAUGAGGUUGCGUUGUACAUCCAGUGGUGCCUGUAGGGAGCAGGGACAAAGGGACACCUGGAAGGUGGUGUCACAGUCCAAAAGCACCUUCGGCUGGGCCUGGUGACCCUGGGGACAGCCAGGUGAAAAGAAUCCAACCUACCUGUUGAGCACAUUAAGGUAGAGCCUGGUAAACAUGCCUUUGCCGGGCCCACCAGCUGAGAAGGAGCCGCCGCCCCCCAUCAUCAUGUUCAGGACGGCAAAGGGGAUGAAAUCUUCCUCC